rnacentral:lncRNA from 1 species
CUGACUUUCUCCUCUGACAAUAGUUCCUCCCUCAAAAGUUCCCUGUGGUCCCCAACUCUGUGUACUCUUCCUCAACUCCAAAAUAAACUGCCCUCUUUGCUGUGGCCAGGAGGCCUCAGCCAGUUCCCUAGGACAAGCAAACGCUGCUGGCCACAAGGUUAGUAGCCGUGCUGUUUUUACUGGCAGAGAUGCAGGGAUGGUUAUGAUUGUUGUUAUGUUUUUGUUUUGUUUUUAGACUGGAUCUUAGGGACCUCAGGCUAUCAAAUGCACCAUGUAGCCAAGGAUUACCUUAAACCUUUGAUCCUCCUGUCCCCAUAUCCCAAGAACUGGAUUACAGGCUCCUGGCACCAGGCCUCACCUUAUGUACUGGGAAUUGAACCCUUGGCGAGCGUUCUGCCUGUGGAGCUACGUCCCCAGCGCCUGGUGCAGUUUUAAUGUUAAAUGUGUUAAUGAACUAUGUUUGCCAAGAAAACAGUUUCCUAUUUGAUUCCCUGCCCCAUAAACCAUUCUGUGUCCCGUUAAAAGUAAAAAAGCCCCAACAUCGAAGGUACUCCUCCCUUCUGGGGGCUGUCUUGCAGAAUGCUCCUGCCCCAGCUCAGGAAACAGCCAGGACAACUGGGACAGGAAGAAUGCGUAGCAACGUCAGAGAAGUCCCAGCGUGCUGUCGCCACUUGUACCAGUGCCACACUUGAAGGGCAGACAGCACUGUGUUCUCCCGAGAGAAUCUUUCUCACAAGCAGAUUGACCAUAUUAGUACAUAACUGAAUCAUCCUUUUAUUUUUUUCAAACCACAGUGUAUGUCCCAGACCAUGUCAAAUGUGCUGGUUUCAGAUGAGUUCUUCAUAGAAAAGAAGAGCUCAGACUGUUAAAGAGAACUAACCUUAAAAUACCAAAAAAAAAAAAAAAAAAUCCAUUUAGCGAAGGAUAGUAAGUCAUCUCCUGCCUCUUCUGUGAAUUGAUAGUCACAUGUAAACAGGCUUGUUCAAGGAAGAUUUUGACACUGCUCUGUCUGAACUAUAUGUCCUAAAAGGAAAAUUGCUUCAUUUACUAUUUACCAUCCAGCCAUGGCACCCCUCCUGGUCCCCCUUCUACAGUCCCUCAACCUGUUUCUCCUCUCCUGUCUGUUUUUUGUUUGUUUGUUUGUUUGUUUGUGUUUAAGCUUUACCAUGUCUUCUUAGCAUCUCACAGAGCAUAGAUGCAGCAGACUGCAUGACUGACUAAUGACUUCCGAGAUGCCUUCAGGAUCCGUG